rnacentral:rRNA from 1 species
CAGUCGCCACGGGAAUACGAAGGGUGCAAGCGUUAUCCGGAAUUAUUGGGCGUAAAGAGCUCGUAGGCGGUUUGUCGCGUCUGCCGUGAAAGUCCGGGGCUCAACCCCGGAUCUGCGGUGGGUACGGGCAGACUAGAGUGAUGUAGGGGAGACUGGAAUUCCUGGUGUAGCGGUGAAAUGCGCAGAUAUCAGGAGGAACACCGAUGGCGAAGGCAGGUCUCUGGGCAUUAACUGACGCUGAGGAGCGAAAGCAUGGGGAGCGAACAGGAUUAGAUACCCCUGUAGUCCCUGUCUCUUAUAC